CUUGAUCAGGGUCUCUUUUUAGAUAAAGGAUUUUAGACAUUUGAUCACAUCUCCACUCGUGAUCCAAAUGUCACACUCCACAUCCUUGGUACAAACCACCAUGUACCCCUAGACAUCUGUACUCUACCUUACCAAAAAGACAUCCAACUCACUACUAAUGCAUCUCAAGCUCACUAUGGCAAAUCAACACCUUUCGGUGACCACAAAGGUUACUCCAAUCACCAAAGCUCCAAAAAAUCCACAAAGAAAAUGGCGAAGGUGGCAAUCACAAAGAAAAAUUGAAGAAAGAGUCGGUUACUUCACAACACUCACAAAGAAGCCUCACAAAGAGGAAGAAUAUAACCCUAACAUGGCUGCAUCACAUAAUCUUACAAACCACACAGGCUCACAAAGAUAAAGGAGAGAAAUGGCUGCCCAACUUGCUUCUCACUACCACACUCUCACACCACUCACAGAGCAAAUAGAGUACGCCAUAAAACUUAACGCACUAUGCAUAUAAACAUAUUACACAAAGUAAUAAAUCACUCUAAUUCAUGCAAUUACACACAUCAAACAUAUUGAAAGUGUAACAUCAACAUUGCAAUAGAAUUAAGUGAUCAUAUACAUGUAGAAAGGAUUACACACAGAUGCGAUGCAGUAACCAAGUUUAUUCUCUCAAUAAAAAUAAUUAGGAUCACUACUCGACCCUAAAGUCACAUUCACCUCAUCUCUAUCCUUUUAUUAUCAUCCUAGGACAUUCUCUUUUAAUUAUGCCCAAAUUUUACCACAGUUAAAACAUAUUUUAUUUUUGCACUUGCCUUAGACCUAUACAUGCCAACAAUAUCAAAUAAUGACCACAAGCAAAGUACUGACACAUAAUUCACACAGAACAGUCAAGUAAAUUUUUCUGAGGUCUCAUGCAAUUCUAUCGGUGUAUUGGUGACAAAUUCACAUGGCAAUUAAUUAACAUGUAAUUCCUAUGUCUAACAACAGGCAAUGGUUACCACUUCACGGUAACCCCAAACCUAACGUCACAUUAGACGAUGACUUUUAACGCUAAAAAUAAAUAAUUAACCUACACAUUUAUUUUAACUGCUAAUAAUAAAAAACAAAGAAUACGAUACCCAGCGGACCACGUCUGAAGGUUCGUAAUUUAUGAGACAUGCGAAUUUAAUACUUUAGGACUACCACUAUUCGUCCUAAAGUCUCUGAAAACUGUAGCAACCAAAAAAUCACGAUCAAGUCCCAAACGUCCAAGAACAACGCUGUCCAGAUUCUACUGUGUACCCUGAAAUAGAAAACUUUCAACACGAAAAAUGUCAGAAAUAAUAUGAGGAACAAACUGCCUGAAGGGACCUCCUUGAAAUUCCUCACGUCGCCGUUGAUUGACAUGCGCCGUCCUACAGGGUUCUUCUCCAUCUGCACGUUACGCCAGUGAUCUUUAUUUUCUCAAACUCCUUCUGGAUUGAUCAGAAAAUGCGAAAAAAAGAGACUAAUUUUGACAGUUUUUGGACAGCUUCUUUAAUCUGAUUUCUGCUGCGAUUUCUGGACUUUUUGGUAUGUUUCACGAGCCAAAACCACCACCUUGAAGCUCUGAUACCAAUUGUUGUGGAAGCUCUCUUGAAAGAUCUUCAAAUCGGUGAUUUUCGGGCUCAGUCCAAUGCACCUUUCUCAAUCAACAACCAGUCCAAUCGACUCCAAACCACAACCAAUUGAUCACUUUGGUUGCUAUUCAAUCUUACCCACGUAGGACAAGAAAUGAUGAUGAUUUGAGGCCACAAAGGCUAGGAGAAGAUAGCACUAAGGUAUACUAUGAAGGAAUCACCAAUUACACACGUUAUAACCAAAUAUAUACUUUAGGGUUAGGCUUUAAGUUGGACCAUUAAAGGGGUAAACGGGCCAAAAUUCAAGCCAUUCAUAGGGGAAUACAAUUGGGCUGGGUGUAGCUCAUGGACUUGGUUGUUGGACUUAUUUCAUUCAUCGACUUAUGCCUAUGAAAUAAUAUUAACCCACGUUAAUAUUAUAGCCCGAAAUUUAUUAGGUAUCAAAAACCCAACACUCUUUUAUAUAAAGUUUACAUGAAACUUCUAGUCCACACGUUUUCUUAGAGAUUUCUAGACCAUAUAUUUUGAACUAGAUACUUUUCUAGAAUAUUUUAGAUAGAGUUUUCAAAACCACAUAAUCUUCUUGACACAUGACAAAAUUUAUUACCACAUCUUGUACUUAGAUAUUUACGUAGAUUUUUCUAGACAUUUUUAUAGAAAUGUUAGGUUUUGUUGGACUUUUGAAUUAGGUUUAUGAUUAAAACCUUUAAGCCCAUAUUACUUAGUCCAAAAUCAAGUUUACUUCUCAACAUAAAAUGGCCCGAUGUGAUCAUAAGAAAUUUGAUUUUAUUGUAAGGGAAAAUUACAUCUAUACAGGUGUUUGAAUAUUGAAUUUCAAAAAUAAGGUUCAAGAUUUAUUUAUGCAAAAAUCAGGUAACAAUUUUAUAUUUUAAUAAAUAUAAUAAUAUUAAUAAAUUUCAAUUAUAUAAUCUCACCAUAUUCCAUCCACCCAAUUAAAACUCUAACUAUUUUCUUCCCUAAUUUUCCUCUUCUUCUCGUCGUCUCUCUCUGUCUCUUUAUCAUCUCCGUCACAUAUGGUCGCCGUCAUUAGAGACCACAUCGGAGCUCGUCCCUAGGAGCAACGAGCGGCAUGCAAUUCCAGCAUCUGUACCUUUAUGCCUGAAUUUGUGGUUUUGUUGAUGUAUACAAAUCGGGGCGAUUCGUGGUUUCACCGAUGCCUUUGUGUUUGCUUGGCUUCUACGUGGAUGUGGUGACGGUGACGACAUGCUCAUAUCCCUGUUGAAGCAAUUCUACGUCAUGAUUCAGAGUUGAAGCCGGUGGGUCAGCCUAUGUAUGGAAUUUCAAUGUUUGAUAAGGCGGUGGUGUAGGUAUUUUUAUCUAUAGGUGGUUAUCUGAUGUGCAGGCGACGGUUGUGUGGUAAUGGUGGUUUUGUCGUUGUUGUUGGCGGCAGUUAUGGAAGUGUUGUGUUGGGGGGGCAGAUUUGUGUGUGGUGUGGUGUAGGUGAUGGUUGUGUAAUGGUGUGGUGUAGGUGGCGGUUGUGUGGUGGUGGUCAUUUUGUUGUUGUUGGCGGUGGUGGUGUCAAUCUCUGUAGUGGUGUGGUACAGGCGGCGAUUGUGUGGUGAUGGUCAUUUUAGUUGUUAGCGGUGGUUCUGGUGGUGUUGUGGUGAGGGUGGAUCUGUGGGUGGUGGUUAUCUGAUGUGUAGGCGGCGAUUGUGUGGUGGUUUUGUGUCUGUUUUGUUUGUGGUGAGGUAGUGCUAGUUGCAAUAUUUGAGAUGACGUGACUGUUGAAGAUGGUGGUGGUGUGAUUUUAGUGGCGGUGGUUUUGAAGAUUAUGCGACUGGUGGUGGUGGUCACAGGUGAUGGUGAUGGUUACAAAUGAUUUAAUUGUUUGCGAUCAAGAAAAUUGGCUUAUGUGACCAAUCAUUUGGUUAUUUAUGACCAACUAUUUAGUUUGGCCUAAAAAUUUAAAUAAUUUGUGAUCAAGUAAUUUGGACUCGAAAUAAUUUGUGAUCUGUAAAUUUUUUAUUUGUGACGUAUAAAAUUUUUGAUUUGUGUCCUCGAAAUAAUAUGUGACCAAUUAACUUGAUGAUACGUGAUCAAUAAAUAAGUUUGAGACUUAUAAUUAUGAACAUGUGACCAUUAUUGGUAUAAAUGUGACUUUAUUAUUUUGAAUUAAUAAAAUAUAUUUAAUUAAAAAAUGAAAACCUGAUUUUUUCAGUUUCAAAACUUUAGACACGAGAAUUGAAUAGUCAAUACCUAAUACCUUAAUUGUGAAUUUUUCCCUUAUUGUAAUUUUUGGUGAUGUAGCUAUAAAUUGAACAGAUAGGUGAAAAAAUGAUUUAUGUAUCAAACCCCAUAAUUAUUGAGAAUGUUACUAGCGUAUUGUUGUUUGCAAUUUUCUUUUCCAAAUUUCAUCAUUCCAGGUUAUUCGCCAAGUUUCUUGUGGAGCAUUUCAUGUGGUUGCUCUAUCAGAAGAUGUCUUGUGGCGUCACACGCUUGUUUCUACUAAAGACGGAAGAGUUCAUGGACGGGGUUACAAUUGUUAUGAUCAGGCUGCUAAUGAGAAAUCAACAUAUGCUUGUAAUCCUUCCCCAGUUGACUGGUGUGAUAUGGAAGAGAAUGUUCGGCUAAAGCCUAAAAAAUGUAAAUGUAAUUGAAGAAAAGUAAGCAAAGACUUUAAAAAAGGGUUUGGAAAAAAGUUACUUUUAAGCUUGUGAAUAUGCGUCUAAGCUUAAAAGUUUCUUCCAAGUACUACUUUUUUCAGGAUUAGCCAAAGAUGCUUUACAUGAAUGAGGAAGUAUGCUAAUGAAAGCCUUUUAACAGAUGCAUGUUCUUUAAAAGAAUUGUCUGAGUUUAGGGUAGCAGACAGUGUGACUCCGUCAAUUGCUUCAUUGAUUGAGGAUGUUGCGUAUAGAACUGGUCUUUGCACAAGAUUAAGGUAAUAUCAUGUUUAUUCGGAGAA